rfam:Ictidomys tridecemlineatus contig010005, whole genome shotgun sequence.
UAGCUCAGUUGGUAGAGUGCCUGCCUCACAUGCACAAGGCCCUGGGUUCAAUCCCCAG